UGACAUAGCCACCACUUAAUGUUUUGGACACAUAGUCAAAUUUGAGAAAUUUUAUUUUGUGCCUUAUACAACUUAUACUAGAUUCCUUUUUAUCUCAUAAAUUUGUGGACCCCAAUCUUAUACUUUUGGGUCCACAAAAUUGUGAGACAAAAAAAUUACCUCAUACAAUUAGUGUCAGUUGUAUGAGAGACAAAAUAAAAUUUUUCGUCAAAUUUGGUUCCAAGAGGCUCUAAAGUUUAUACCGCAUGGACAAAUAUAAAAAGAGGAAGGAGGUCCCAUUGAUACCUACUUAUCUCUUUCGAGCUUUCAAGUUUUAAUUUCUCUGAGUUUUUGUCAUCUUCCUUACUUUUCUUUAAAAUGUCUUGUUUAUAAAAAAUCAAACUCUAUAUUUGUUCGAUGCAUUCCGAGGUUCUAUGUCUCCGCCACCUAGCUGAAAAAGCUGGAGUUAGCCUCAGUUUUUAGCAUCUCCUUCACCUUUACUCCCACAUGAUUUAUCGAUGAGGCAUAAUUAACAUGUUGCAGCGAGGCUUGUAGGCUCUGAUAUCUGACUAUGGAGACGACUAUUACUACCGGUGUUUCGAAAGGCACUUGGUAGUUCGUACUAAAUUUCUUUACACAAACGAUAAUAACCAAUUCCUAGGAAGUGGAAUCUUAAUCAUAAUUCAAGUCAUCAUGAUUCAGUAAUAUACCUUGAAUUAUUAAAUUUUCAAUGUUUUUGCAGCCAUCGUUGUGCCUCUCGAAAGAGUGCCCAACAUUAAAGGAUAUGCAUUUGAGAUCCUACAAGUUUCAACCAACUACUCGAGGAUUUAGAAAUCCAUUUCUAGUAAGCUCGGUGGUAUUAAAGUGUUGUACCACAAUAAUCAUGAAUUUAAUUCUUUCCUUGUGGAAUCUUUAUUUUAUCCCCUUUUCUUUCCAUUGAUGUGAAAAAAAUCCUAGCAAGGGUGAGACUCCAUAAGAGAGUCCCUUUUUCAGUUACAUGCCCUAGCUAGCCUCCCCUCUGUGGUCACUGCCUCAAGGUUAAUUUGGGAACUUCUUCCCUAAGUACCUCGGGGGGAUGGUGCCGACACUUCCACGAAACCUACCUUCAUGUUGUCACCUGAAAGCGGCAAGUCUUUCAAAGGAGAGUAUGCCCUAGGGCUGAAGUAGAGGUUCCCUAGGGCAGUUCUCAACUUGCUCAGGAGGAUGAUACUGAUAGGCUGAUUUGAUCCUAUCCCAUCACGGUCGAUUUUGAUAAGGAGGCCUCUCGUCAUGUAGUUUUAAGGCCCGAGGAGGGAUGACUACUACGCUUACCUAAAAGUCAAAGGAUCAAUCAAUCGCUACCAACCCACCUGCAGAUGUGAGGUUCCAUUCGAGGGACAGUUUUGAGGCUCGGUUAAUCGUGGGUUCUACGUGCCUACCAGCUGGAAAUCAGAAAGUUGUUAAGUUUUUAUUAUCCUAUGGAGGAGGGGGUCUUCACAAACCCUAGGCCCGUGGCUGCACAACUUGCAAAGUUGCUGAACUAGCAGGAAUGGGCCAAAAUAGAGUUUAUGAGUGUUGAGGCGUCGGUGACUCAGAUAUCUCAUAAGACUGCUAAGCUUAGUGCUCUAUCCUAGAGGACCCUGAAAAAUGUUCGAAUCGAUAUGGCCAUGGAAAGGGAGGUGGUAAGAUAUGAUAAGAUGUUGAAGAUUGAAAAUGAGAAGGUCCAAAAAGUGAUCUAGGAGCACACAACUGAGAAGGAGGCCCUCCUAGUGCAAACAAAAGUAGUAGAGUGAAAUGCCGAUCAGAAGAAAGAAUUCUUAGCCAGUGAGGCUACCCUCUGAGCUGAGUGGAUCAGGGCUUUCAAAAGAAUUCUAACCCUCGAAGGAUAUCUAGCCUUGAAGACGAGCAAAGAGGCACGACUGAGGGAGGAUUUCUCUUAGUUAUAGUCCAAGAUUCAUGGCAUAAGAUCUGAAUAAGAGUCAGUUGAGUUGAGCGUUUUAGCCAAUAACAAAGAUCGGAAGUCUGCUCAAGAGGCCUUUGUGGACGUACAGAAGAUGAUAGUUUUCAAUUUAGCCUGGGCAUCUACUUGGUCUUCCUUAUCUUGACAGACAAGGGCUAAGUAUGGAAUUAAAUGAUGAUGGCCUUGAUGAUGAAGACCGAAGAGGGGGAAGGUUGACACUACUUCCUCUGCCCCUUCGGCGAAAACCAAUGCUAACCCAAACGCCCCUUCUACUUCCGCUUCCCAAUCCCCAGGCCAUAGUUUAGGUCCCCGUAGUUCUCCUUAAAAGUUCUCUUGUACAUCCCCACCCCCUCCCCCUUUUUUAUAACUAUGUAAAUACAAAUUCAUAAAUUUUGCUGUA